rnacentral:rRNA from 1 species
AGAGUUUGAUCCUGGCUCAGGACGAACGCUGGCGGCGUGCUUAACACAUGCAAGUCGAACGAGAAUCUGCUGAAGGAGGAUUCGUCCAACGGAAGCAGAGGAAAGUGGCGGACGGGUGAGUAACGCGUGAGGAACCUGCCUUGAAGAGGGGGACAACAGUUGGAAACGACUGCUAAUACCGCAUGACGCAUAGAGGUCGCAUGAUCUUUAUGCCAAAGAUUUAUCGCUUCAAGAUGGCCUCGCGUCUGAUUAGCUGGUUGGCGGGGUAACGGCCCACCAAGGCGACGAUCAGUAGCCGGACUGAGAGGUUGACCGGCCACAUUGGGACUGAGAUACGGCCCAGACUCCUACGGGAGGCAGCAGUGGGGAAUAUUGGGCAAUGGGCGCAAGCCUGACCCAGCAACGCCGCGUGAAGGAAGAAGGCUUUCGGGUUGUAAACUUCUUUUGUCAGGGAAGAGUAGAAGACGGUACCUGACGAAUAAGCCACGGCUAACUACGUGCCAGCAGCCGCGGUAAUACGUAGGUGGCAAGCGUUGUCCGGAUUUACUGGGUGUAAAGGGCGUGCAGCCGGGCAUGCAAGUCAGAUGUGAAAUCUCAGGGCUUAACCCUGAAACUGCAUUUGAAACUGUAUGUCUUGAGUGCCGGAGAGGUAAUCGGAAUUCCUUGUGUAGCGGUGAAAUGCGUAGAUAUAAGGAAGAACACCAGUGGCGAAGGCGGAUUACUGGACGGUAACUGACGGUGAGGCGCGAAAGCGUGGGGAGCGAACAGGAUUAGAUACCCUGGUAGUCCACGCUGUAAACGAUGGAUACUAGGUGUGCGGGGACUGACCCCCUGCGUGCCGCAGUUAACACAAUAAGUAUCCCACCUGGGGAGUACGAUCGCAAGGUUGAAACUCAAAGGAAUUGACGGGGGCCCGCACAAGCGGUGGAUUAUGUGGUUUAAUUCGAAGCAACGCGAAGAACCUUACCAGGGUUUGACAUCCUGCUAACGAAGUAGAGAUACAUUAGGUGCCCUUCGGGGAAAGCAGAGACAGGUGGUGCAUGGUUGUCGUCAGCUCGUGUCGUGAGAUGUUGGGUUAAGU